GUACAUGGUCAAGUGGAGAUCUUGGGUAGGAACCCUAGUUAGUUAAUUCGCGAUUAAUACACGAAUUAUACGCGAAUUUUUGAAGAUACGAAUUAUACGGCCCCUUUUCGUAUUUUUUUGAAAAGUUCGGAAAAAAACGCGAUUUCUUCGUCAAAAAUAAUUGUUCGCGAAUUAUUCGCGAUUCGCGAAUUAUUCAACCAAAAAAACCACGCUGGCGGUCGCGGAUUCGC
rnacentral:lncRNA from 1 species